AUCUUGCUGCUGUCCCCGGCCUGUCCGUGGGCGGGCGGGAGCGGGCAGCGGGCCCUGAGUGCUUAGAGCGGCAGCCGUGCACGGGCCGUGGUGAGAAGGCACGGGCACCGUGGUCUUCCUCGUUCGGGAUUUCCCUUUGCCGUCGCGCCAGUUAGCGCAUGUCGUGGUAAUCCAAAAGCUGCUCCAGAGGCCCCAGAGGGUUCCCAGCCAAGCCUGGGGUCACUGGCAUGUAAAAGGAUCCCAGCUCCAAACGUUCAGGGAAGUGGGCAGGGCUACAGAUUCCACAUCUCUGAGUCAAAGAAGAUGUUUAAGGCUGUCUGGGAGAAGGAAAUGAAGAGGUCAUCCUCUCAAGAUCAUCACUCCCUAUUGCAAGUUCUCCAAUAUAGUCCAGUAAAAAAAAAAUCUUAACACUAGCAAAACUUCUUACUAAAGCCACAGCUGGAGGGAGAGAUGAACUAGUGAGACACAUCCUGCUUAAAAAACAAAAGUGUAGCAGGACAUGCUUUUUGUGGAGGCUGCUUGCAUACAUUAAAUAACCUGCAAUAGGCAAAAGGAAGUUUUGCCUCAGGCACCUGUCUGGAAGUUACUAGAGAGUCCCACAAAAACUCCUUAUUGAAUGCAGAAGACUCUCUUCACUUCUUUGCUUUGUGCGUAAAGAACAAUCUCAUCCAAUAUCAUGGAAUAUUUUUCAUGGAAAUUACUCUAAAUGCAGAGCUUUCCCACCCUCCUUUUCUUCUGCCCAUUUGGUAUGGCAAUUGAUAUUAAUUUUAAUUUUAAUUUAUAAUAGCACUAAGACUUCAUGACCAUUUAUUUCAAUC